UACGGAGGGUGCAAGCGUUAUCCGGAUUCACUGGGUUAAAGGGUGCGUAGGUGGGCCUGUAAGUCAGCGGUGAAAUCUCCGGGCUUAACCCGGAAACUGCCAUUGAUACUAUAGGUCUUGAAUUAUCUGGAGGUAAGCGGAAUAUGUCAUGUAGCGGUGAAAUGCUUAGAUAUGACAUAGAACACCAAUUGCGAAGGCAGCUUACUACGGAUAUAUUGACACUGAGGCACGAAAGCGUGGGGAUCAAACAGG
rnacentral:rRNA from 1 species